AGUGGCGGACGGGUGAGUAACGCGUGGGUAACCUGCCUCAUACAGGGGAUAACAGUUAGAAAUGACUGCUAAUACCGCAUAAGACCACGGAGCCGCAUGGCUCAGGUAGGGAAAAACUCCGGUGGUAUGAGAUGGACCCGCGUCUGAUUAGGUAGUUGGUGGGGUAACGGCCUACCAAGCCGACGAUCAGUAGCCGACCUGAGAGGGUGACCGGCCACAUUGGGACUGAGACACGGCCCAA
rnacentral:rRNA from 1 species